UUUCCGUAGGUGAACCUGCGGAAGGAUCAUUGUCGAAACCUGCCCAGCAGAACGACCCGCGAACUUGUAUAAACAACUGGGGGCGGGGGGCGUUCUCGCCCCGUGCCCCCGAACGGCGGGGAGACACUCGUGCCUUCUUGCCGAACAACGAACCCCGGCGCGGUCUGCGCCAAGGAACUUCAACUAAAGAGUGCCUCCGGUCGCCUCGGAAACGGCGUGCGUGCCGGGGGCGAAUCUUGUGCAAAACCAUAACGACUCUCGGCAACGGAUAUCUCGGCUCUC
rnacentral:misc_RNA from 1 species